rnacentral:misc_RNA from 1 species
AACUUUUGACAACGGAUCACUUGGCUCUCGCAUCGAUGAAGAACGCAGCGAAAUUCGAUACGUAAUGUGAAUUGCAGAAUUCAGUGAAUCAUCGAAUCUUUGAACGCACCUUGCGCCCCUUGGCUUUCCGAUGGGCACACCCGCUUGAGUGUCGUGAAAUUCUCAAAAACCUUUGUUUGGAAGGGAUUUUGAGCUUGUAGGCAUUUUGCUGUCUUCACCUCGAAGCGAGCUCCUCCCAAAUGGAUUAGUGGGGUCUGCUUUGCCGAUCCUUGACGUGAUAAGAUGUUUCUACGUCUUGGGUUUGGCACUGUCACUCGGGCACCCGCUUCUAACCGUCUUGUCGACAACGAUGGCGUUCCGGUCACCACCGUUUCAUCGGUGGGAGGCUUGACCCACCAAAAAACCUUGACCUCAAAUCGGGUGAGACUACCCGCUGAACUUAAGCAUAUCAAUAAGCGGAGGCU